rnacentral:tRNA from 1 species
GCGGGGAUGGAAGAGUGGUCAAAUUCGCACGAUUGAGGGUCGUGUGCCUUAGUGGCUGCGCAGGUUCGAAUCCUGCUCCCCGCA